GAUGAACGCUGGCGGCGUGCCUAAUACAUGCAAGUCGAGCGAACGGACGAGAAGCUUGCUUCUCUGAUGUUAGCGGCGGACGGGUGAGUAACACGUGGAUAACCUACCUAUAAGACUGGGAUAACUUCGGGAAACCGGAGCUAAUACCGGAUAAUAUUUUGAACCGCAUGGUUCAAAAGUGAAAGACGGUCUUGCUGUCACUUAUAGAUGGAUCCGCGCUGCAUUAGCUAGUUGGUAAGGUAACGGCUUACCAAGGCAACGAUGCAUAGCCGACCUGAGAGGGUGAUCGGCCACACUGGAACUGAGACACGGUCCAGACUCCUACGGGAGGCAGCAGUAGGGAAUCUUCCGCAAUGGGCGAAAGCCUGACGGAGCAACGCCGCGUGAGUGAUGAAGGUCUUCGGAUCGUAAAACUCUGUUAUUAGGGAAGAACAUAUGUGUAAGUAACUGUGCACAUCUUGACGGUACCUAAUCAGAAAGCCACGGCUAACUACGUGCCAGCAGCCGCGGUAAUACGUAGGUGGCAAGCGUUAUCCGGAAUUAUUGGGCGUAAAGCGCGCGUAGGCGGUUUUUUAAGUCUGAUGUGAAAGCCCACGGCUCAACCGUGGAGGGUCAUUGGAAACUGGAAAACUUGAGUGCAGAAGAGGAAAGUGGAAUUCCAUGUGUAGCGGUGAAAUGCGCAGAGAUAUGGAGGAACACCAGUGGCGAAGGCGACUUUCUGGUCUGUAACUGACGCUGAUGUGCGAAAGCGUGGGGAUCAAACAGGAUUAGAUACCCUGGUAGUCCACGCCGUAAACGAUGAGUGCUAAGUGUUAGGGGGUUUCCGCCCCUUAGUGCUGCAGCUAACGCAUUAAGCACUCCGCCUGGGGAGUACGACCGCAAGGUUGAAACUCAAAGGAAUUGACGGGGACCCGCACAAGCGGUGGAGCAUGUGGUUUAAUUCGAAGCAACGCGAAGAACCUUACCAAAUCUUGACAUCCUUUGACAACUCUAGAGAUAGAGCCUUCCCCUUCGGGGGACAAAGUGACAGGUGGUGCAUGGUUGUCGUCAGCUCGUGUCGUGAGAUGUUGGGUUAAGUCCCGCAACGAGCGCAACCCUUAAGCUUAGUUGCCAUCAUUAAGUUGGGCACUCUAAGUUGACUGCCGGUGGCAAACCGGAGGAAGGUGGGAUGACGUCAAAUCAUCAUGCCCCUUAUGAUUUGGGCUACACACGUGCUACAAUGGACAAUACAAAGGGCAGCGAAACCGCGAGGUCAAGCAAAUCCCAUAAAGUUGUUCUCAGUUCGGAUUGUAGUCUGCAACUCGACUACAUGAAGCUGGAAUCGCUAGUAAUCGUAGAUCAGCAUGCUACGGUGAAUACGUUCCCGGGUCU
rnacentral:rRNA from 1 species